rnacentral:lncRNA from 13 species
CUACCAGCUUUCUCCAGUCCAUCCAUUUUGAAUCAAGUUAAGCUCAUAGCGGAGACGUACUGAUACCAGUGUUUCAUGAAACCUUUCAUUUGUGGCCUUAAAAGUAAGGAAUCAAGACCCACAAAGUGUGAUGAAUAAACAAGAACCCUCAGAAACAUGGGAAGAAAAAGCCUACAAAUAGACAUCACAGUUACCAGGUAACUGGGAACAGACAAAGAACAUCAAGAAUUCUGCCAGUAUGAACAAAGGCUUAAGACAACAACUGUAACCUGCAACUCUCCUAAGACACAAUGUAU